UUUAUCCAGAGUGGCGGAGGGAAUAGGCCCUAUGAUGCCCGGCAACCAGUGAAUACAUAAAGUGUUUACUAAGGUGCUAAUUCCUACAGAUUUUGAUUGAUCUGACAGAUAAGG
rnacentral:ncRNA from 1 species